rnacentral:rRNA from 1 species
UACGAAGGACCCGAGCGUUAUCCGGAUUUAUUGGGUUUAAAGGGUGCGUAGGCGGACUUAUAAGUCAGUGGUGAAAUCCCUCAGCUUAACUGAGGAACUGCCAUUGAAACUAUUUGUCUUGAGUACAUUUGAGGCGGGCGGAAUGUGUCAUGUAGAGGUGAAAUUCUUAGAUAUGACACAGAACACCAAUUGCGAAGGCAGCUCGCUAAACUGUAACUGACGCUGAGGCACGAAAGCGUGGGUAGCAAACAGGAUUAGAUACCCUGGUAGUCCACGCCCUAAACUAUGAUAACUCGAUGUGUGCGAUACACUGUACGCGUCUAAGCGAAAGCAUUAAGUUAUCCACCUGGGAAGUACGACCGCAAGGUUGAA